CCCCCCUGGCAAUGGGCAAAGAGACACCUUGUUGGUGGUGGUGUUAUUUCAGUCAGGGACAGAGUUGAUGGCAGUCCUUUGUUCAUCCUGGUUUGAUGCCUGGUUUGGUGGUCAAAGUUCUUUUAUGCCUGGGACACAUAA